GGGGUUGUGGCUCAGUGGCAGAGCACUUACCUUACGAAUAUGAGGCACUGGAUUCAAUCCUCAGCACCACA
rnacentral:tRNA from 1 species